rnacentral:rRNA from 1 species
GACGUAGGGCGCGAGCGUUGUCCGGAUUUAUUGGGCGUAAAGAGCUCGUAGGCGGUUUGUCGCGUCGGGAGUGAAAUCCACUGGCUUAACUGGUGGCUUGCUUUCGAUACGGGCAGACUGGAGGUAUGCAGGGGGAGAACGGAAUUCCUGGUGUAGCGGUGAAAUGCGCAGAUAUCAGGAGGAACACCGGUGGCGAAGGCG